UAUGACUGUCAUUAACUUGCAUUGUAGCGAAAUCUGUGUCAGUUUCACGGAAAUUUGAGUGAUUCCGUGGCUAUUUCACGGAUUCCUGUGAGACCAGGUUGUUAAAGUAGCUUUAAACAUUUCAACUCUGGUCCAUCUGAUUUACUUUGUGUUUACUUGAAGUUUGCCUGUUCACACUCUUCCUGGUUACAUUUAGUAGACACAAUGAGAAAUUAUAAGUUGUAUCUUAUAAUUGAAAUAUGCAAAUGUAUUACUUCUUGGGAGACAAACUGCACAAUACUGCAUGGUGGUAUUUGUCAGGAAAUAAUUAGAGUAUGCAACCCCCAAAACCAUAUUGUUCUUUUUACAUUUCUGGUCAUUUACAGGAAAAACAAACAAUACACUGUGUAAAGAAGAAAGCCUUAAAGAUGGACAUUUUUUCCCCCUUACUCUCAACAAGACCAGGUCUAAACCUUGUUUAUGGCUGACCUGAUUGGUCAAUGUGAUUUUGAGAUUUUGUGGGCAAUGCGUUACAGGAAUAGUAAUCUCAGGAAUCAAGGUGUCUAUGUGUGAAUAUGUUUUAUAUAUUAGUAGUUAGUAUUUUGUCCCAGUAAUACGAACAAGUAAUAAUAUGCUCUGCGUGUGUUUCACAGCACAUCAAAUAGUAUUCCGUUCUUUCAGAUUAACUGAGCCAACUCUUCUCAAGCUACUAAAUGUUCUGGCCUGGAUUGGAAGGUGCCAUAGUUUACUGUAACCUGUGUCACUUUAACAGGAAUGUUGCAAGAUGCUAUUGUAUACACCAGCUGUUCUCAACCUUGGGGUCGGGACCCCAAUUGGGGUUGCGAGAUGAUUUCUGGGGGUCGCCAAAUCAUUUUGGAAGUCAGCUCUGUCUCCACUGUGUUAAAGUGUUUUUGGUCACGUAAUGUCUUUUUUUGGUCAUUUUGUGGGGGGUUUUGUUUGUUAUUUUGUGUCUUUUUUGGUCAUUUUGUUGAAUUUUUUGGUUAUUUUGUGUCUUUUCUGGUCAUUUUGUGUCUUUUUCUGUCUUUUUUUGAUCAUUUAGUGGACAAUUUGUGUCUUUUUUGGUCAUUUUCUGUCUUUUUUGAUCAUUUUCUGUCUUUUCUGGUCAUUUUGUAGACAAUUUGUCUCUUUUUUGGUCAUUUUCUGUCUUUUUUUUGAUCAUUUUGUGUCUUUUCUGGUCAUUUUUUGUCUUUUCUGGUCAUUUUCUGUCUUUUUUGGUCAUUUUGUUUCUUUUUUGGGUGAUCUGAACUGUGCGUGUGAGAUUGUGUUCAGUGAGCGGGAGUCGCGGACAACAUGCACGUUAAAUUGGGGGUCGCGACUCAAAAAGGUUGAGAACUACUGGUAUAGAUGUCACACCAAGACAAGAUGUUAUUUCCUUCAGGGAUUGCUGUUGUUUAGUUGUUCUACAGUUAGACAUUAGGAACCAGCAGCCAAUUCUUCAGUGGCACUCAGAUGGAUAGUUAGGAGGUUUAUGUAGCCGCUGCAGAGGACCAAGAAAGAAAUAAUCAACUCAUCACUCCAUCAAGACCAAUCCAUCCAGUAUUCUGUUGUGGUUCAUCAUUUUAACUUUGGUUUUCACAGUUUAAAAGUUUACCUUCUCUCUUUGCUUUCAUGACAAGUAACAUUUAACAGUGUUUGGACCAAUAUUAUGAAAAUCUUAUAUAACGUGGUGAAAAAAAAAGAGAGAAAGAAAUGUGAAGUUGCACACACACUGAGUUUAUAAUUACAUAUUUCUAAUUUAUUUGCAUUGCCCUUUAAAAAAGAGAAUAAUUGUAUCUUUUUUGGUGUUUGAGUCUUUCUGGGCACAUAAAAUAGUAUUAACUUUAAAGUUACAUAAAGGGAAAGUAAACACAAAGACUCAAUUUAUUUUAACACAUUUUGAAGUGUUUAUACUCAUUUGAUGUACACAGUAUGAAUGAAGUUAUUAAUAUAUGAAGCAAAGCUCCACACUGUAUUCUUGUAUGUCUGGUCAUUGUUAACAUUAACAAGUGGAUGGUAUAAAUGUUUGGUAUUAUUGUGAAUAAAUGAUGUGAUGUCUA